rnacentral:rRNA from 1 species
UGCAAGCGUUACUCGGAAUCACUGGGCGUAAAGGGCGCGUAGGCGGAUUAUCAAGUCUCUUGUGAAAUCUAAUGGCUUAACCAUUAAACUGCUUGGGAAACUGAUAGUCUAGAGUGAGGGAGAGGCAGAUGGAAUUGGUGGUGUAGGGGUAAAAUCCGUAGAUAUCACCAAGAAUACCCAUUGCGAAGGCGAUCUGCUGGAACUCAACUGACGCUAAGGCGCGAAAGCGUGGGGAGCAAACAGGAUUAGAUACCCUGGUAGUCCACGCCCUAAACGAUGUACACUAGUUGUUGGGAUGCUAGUCAUCUCAGUAAUGCAGCUAACGCAUUAAGUGUACCGCCUGGGGAGUACGGUCGCAAGAUUAAAACUCAAAGGAAUAGACGGGGACCCGCACAAGCGGUGGAGCAUGUGGUUUAAUUCGAAGAUACGCGAAGAACCUUACCUGGGCUUGAUAUCCUAAGAACCUUUUAGAGAUAAGAGGGUGCUAGCUUGCUAGAACUUAGAGACAGGUGCUGCACGGCUGUCGUCAGCUCGUGUCGUGAGAUGUUGGGUUAAGUCCCGCAACGAGCGCAACCCACGUAUUUAGUUGCUAACGGUUCGGCCGAGCACUCUAAAUAGACUGCCUUCGUAAGGAGGAGGAAGGUGUGGACGACGUCAAGUCAUCAUGGCCCUUAUGCCCAGGGCGACACACGUGCUACAAUGGCAUAUACAAUGAGACGCAAUACCGCGAGGUGGAGCAAAUCUAUAAAAUAUGUCCCAGUUCGGAUUGUUCUCUGCAACUCGAGAGCAUGAAGCCGGAAUCGCUAGUA